AUUGAACGCUGGCGGCAUGCUUUACACAUGCAAGUCGAACGGUAACAGGGAGCUUGCUCCGCUGACGAGUGGCGAACGGGUGAGUAAUGUAUCGGAACGUACCUUUCAGUGGGGGGAUAACGUAGCGAAAGUUACGCUAAUACCGCAUAUUCUGUGAGCAGGAAAGCAGGGGAUCGCAAGACCUUGCGCUGAUUGAGCGGCCGAUAUCAGAUUAGCUAGUUGGUGAGGUAAAGGCUCACCAAGGCGACGAUCUGUAGCGGGUCUGAGAGGAUGAUCCGCCACACUGGAACUGAGACACGGUCCAGACUCCUACGGGAGGCAGCAGUGGGGAAUUUUGGACAAUGGGCGCAAGCCUGAUCCAGCCAUGCCGCGUGAGUGAAGAAGGCCU
rnacentral:rRNA from 1 species